rnacentral:rRNA from 1 species
CACGUGAGAAUCUGCCCUUAGGAGGAGGAUAACAGCUGGAAACGGUUGCUAAUACUCCAUAUGCCGAGAGGUGAAAGGAAGUAUCUGCCUAAGGAGGAGCUCGCGUCUGAUUAGCUAGUUGGUAGGGUAACGGCCUACCAAGGCGACGAUCAGUAGCUGGUUUGAGAGGAUGAUCAGCCACACUGGGACUGAGACACGGACCAGACUCCUACGGGAGGCAGCAGUGAGGAAUAUUGGUCAAUGGAGGCAACUCUGAACCAGCCAUGCCGCGUGCAGGAAGACUGCCCUAUGGGUUGUAAA